rnacentral:lncRNA from 1 species
CGCGUGUGUUGUAGCUCUGUCAAUCCUUGGAUUAGAACCAAUGAUUGCAGCUCGUAGGAGGGCUGUCCAGGGCCAGAUUGUACGAUGUGUCUCACUGCCAGAGUAUGAGGAGAGAUAAUUACUGAGAAGUCACACUCUCCCAUCCUUGGCUUUCUUGUGGUGUCCUUCAGCAAAACAGUGGAUUUAAAUCUCCUUCCACCAGCUCGAGAGCAACGCAAUCUGUCAGGAAAGAAAGAAAGAGAAAACCGAACCUGACAAAAAAGAAGAAAAAGAAGAAGAAAAAAAAUCAUGAAAACCAUCCAGGCAAAAAUGCACAAUUCUAUCUCUUGGGCAAUCUUCACGGCGCUGGCUGCUCUGUUUCUCUUUCAAGGCUCAGUCCCAGCCCGACUUGGACUCCGGAGGUGUCUGCAGUUGCAAGCCAGGAGGAGAGGAUGGAGCCUGGAGGCGGUGGCGGUGGUAGCUUCUGGCUUCCAGGGAUGGAUUUAUCACCACGUUGCUGACGAAUGUGUGAGAAACACUGCGGUGAUAAAGCAGCACCUGCCGUAAUUAAAGUAACAGCUCCUGCGUUUUAAAUGCUGUUUAUAUGAUGCUUGGCUUUCUAGGGAGUUUCCCUUCUGCCACUCUAGGACACAGUGUUCCUUCCAUCCAGAGACUUUGGGGAGAGCAACGCUGAGCAUGAGGAAGGCGGCUGGGACUAGCAACCCAGGAGGACAAAAGCUGGUCCUUGAUUCCAG